AUCGGAAGCAUCAAGACGUAACCUAAUUUCAGCUGAAGAACAAUUUAAAAUUGAAGCACGAAGUACGAUUCACAAACCAAGAAAUAACUGCAGAAGCAUCUUUAUUUGCAGUGAAUAAUUAAGAAAAGAAAAGAAAAAUCUUCAAAGUAAACGCUCCUGAAUCAAUCAGAAAUCUGAUUGGAGCUGACGAGCCAAUGCGACAAUCUAUCUGCACAUCGUGUAAAGGUAAAGUGUUAACAUGCUAUAACGAGAAAAGUAAUUAAAGCGACAGCGGAUUCAGCAAUAUCUUCCUUUACCGUGCGGACUUUAUCCACUCGGCAUGCAGCUGCGAAGUGCUCGCGUUGACCACAAGAAUUGCAGUUUUUUCUAAGUGCUGGACAUUCUCUACCAGCGUGGGAUGGUCGAAAACAUCUCGAGCAUCUAUAACGACGACUCACACUUCCCCUUGGCUGAUAUGCUGACAUCUUGUAGGGUUGGAAUCUUUUCGCUGGAUUACUGGUUGUGGGUUGAGCAACUAACCCGCGCUUAUGCUGACCUUCAGUGCCUCGAAAACUGCUGCUACUGCUCGCCAGAAGCGUGCUUGGCUCCUCUCGGGGGAUGGUAAUUUCCGCCUGAAACGCCUCGGCGCGUGUUGCUGCUUGAACGAUUGUGUUGGAAUCGUGAUUGUAUGUUCGCGCCGCUUUCUUCAGUUCCUGGUUGCGAAGGCCUCUUAGAAGUUGAUUCCUCACGAAACGGUCUUGAUCCGCCGGACUGUAGCGACAGAGGAGUACUUUCUCCGUGAGACGAGCGUGAAAUUUUACGGCCGAUUCAUCCUCUUCUUGGUACAUUUUUGAGAAAUCUUCGUGCUCUGCUGCAGGAUCUGUCAUGGCCUUCAGUUUUGCAGCUCGUAUAAUGCUCUUGAGCUCGUCACCCAUAGACAGAGAGAGAAGAUCAACACGCCGCUUGGGGUCCCUGAUGUUCGAAAGAGAGGCUGCUGUCUCAAAAUCUUCGGAGAACCGGAUCCAGGCUU